rnacentral:ncRNA from 1 species
UGGGCUGGUCGCAAGACCCGGGUCCACUACAAGCGGGGAUGUUCCCC